AUCCAGCUGACGGGUCCCGAAUAAGACGAAAAGCCCAUCCUGGAU
rfam:Schistosoma curassoni strain Dakar, Senegal genome assembly, scaffold: SCTD_contig0000015